AUACGUAUCGGACGUGUAUCCACGACUAUCCUCCGCGUAUCCGUAUCCUCAAAGUGUCCGAUACGGGAUACGGGGGCUUUCUCCCUUGUCCAUGCAUCGUAGGCUAUAAGUUAUUGUGAAUCUGAAGCUGAAAUUCCCACACUUUGUUUUGACCUUAAGUAAGUAAUUGUCCCGAAUUCUUGAUCCGGGACUUGAGAGAAAAUGGAGGAGCAAGAAAAAAUGGAGGAGCAAGAACGGAAGGAAGUUUUGGUGAUGAACAAGAAGACCGUUAUGAUCCAGUUGUUUUGUGGUCUGGCUAUGGUGGUUCUGCUUGUUGGUUGUCUAUGGUAAGGGUGUGUCCAGUUGAGAAAGGCCGGAGAUAGGAAUCCAAGGACUUUCCAACUGACAGCUCGAAGAUAUUUUCUGCUAUGAGGAUGGAGAACCAGGUUACCAGAACUUAGGCAUUAGCUUUGGACUAAAAUAUGCUUUGUUCCAGGUUAUUCUCUCUUCCUCUUUUUCUCUCAGGCAAUAUCUUCUUUCGUUGUUUGUUUUGAAUCAUGCCAAUCGCAGGUUUUUGAUCCUUCACACAGUAAAGGCAUCAUCAGAUCCUUUGCGCGGUUGCAACUCCAACGGGCAGGUUUUUGAUCUGGUGUCGCAUAUCACAGUACAUCCCAUCCUCUAUGUAUGUGAUGCUUCUUUUAUCCAAUGUUCUGUUGGAAUAAAAUUCUUCUGUUACUAUCGUGACAGCAGCUGAGCACAUAAGCAAGAACCUUGUGCAGGAUGCUCUAAAGUACAAGAUGAGAGGAGGUCUUGCAUCUGUUCACAAAAUUGCUAACCAAGGUCCGGAUUCCUUCACUGAUAAACUAUAGUUAACGGUUGGAGAUCAGAGGUCUUGGUCCAUGAAUAAAAAAUAGAAGAUGGAUUCGUCAUUAGUUGUAGACAAUGGAAGUGCCACCAUAUUUUGCCACAACCUAAAGAAAACGAGCAACUAAAUCCAGUUCUUCUAAUGGAUACUCCACCGAGAGUUACCGGCAGCCAACGGAGGGAAACGACUUAGUCAUAUUUGAUCCAUCCAGAAAAAAAUGGCACUACCAAAGCUUUAUAUAUCCGGAGGGCGGUCUCUCCUCGUGGCUCCUCAAACAUCUUUCCUUGCUCAUAAGCACAUGAAGUUGCACCAACCAGGAUUCCAGCGCGAAAGGGUAGUUGUGGAGGGUUUCGGGCAUUCGGGUUUGUUGAUUGGAGAGAUUCUCACAAGACAGUUUUUCCUCACAUUUUAUCUCCCAUACUAUUAGCUGAAAACGGAAGGAGUGGGAAGGGAAAGAGGUUCAGAAAAGAGGCAUUGGAUUAGGAAGCUGAUGGUCUGUAUGAAGGAUUUGGGGAGUUUGGAACAUGGUUUCUCCUUCUGUGGUUGUUGUGGUGAUGUUUAUGUUGUUUCCUCUGCAACUAUGGUUCUUUUAGGAGUUGUAAAUCUAAUCAAUGUGUAACAUAGAGAAAUUUCUUCAAAAGCUACAUACUAUUGAAUGAUACGAGAGUGAAUGAGAUUGAAAAUAGAAUA